CUACGCGUUUCAUCCCAAACAAAUAUACGACUUCCUAAGGGACCAAUCAGUAAAAAUAGUAAGCACAAUCGUAAAUGCAGCAAAAAAGCAGCCUAACAACCCCCUCCCGCAAGUCUCUUGAAUAGGGCUAAUCCCUGAGUCCAUCUGUGAUCCGGUGGGUGUCUUCUUUCUUCUAAUUGGACCUGUGUGAGUUGGAAUCACC